rnacentral:rRNA from 1 species
CCUACGGGAGGCAGCAGUGGGGAAUAUUGGACAAUGGGCGCAAGCCUGAUCCAGCCAUACCGCGUGGGUGAAGAAGGCCUUCGGGUUGUAAAGCCCUUUUGUUGGGAAAGAAAAGCAGUCGAUUAAUACUCGGUUGUUCUGACGGUACCCAAAGAAUAAGCACCGGCUAACUUCGUGCCAGCAGCCGCGGUAAUACGAAGGGUGCAAGCGUUACUCGGAAUUACUGGGCGUAAAGCGUGCGUAGGUGGUUGUUUAAGUCUGUUGUGAAAGCCCUGGGCUCAACCUGGGAAUUGCAGUGGAUACUGGGCGACUAGAGUGUGGUAGAGGGUAGUGGAAUUCCCGGUGUAGCAGUGAAAUGCGUAGAGAUCGGGAGGAACAUCCAUGGCGAAGGCAGCUACCUGGACCAACACUGACACUGAGGCACGAAAGCGUGGGGAGCAAACAGGAUUAGAUACCCUGGUAGUCCACGCCCUAAACGAUGCGAACUGGAUGUUGGGUGCAAUUUGGCACGCAGUAUCGAAGCUAACGCGUUAAGUUCGCCGCCUGGGGAGUACGGUCGCAAGACGUUGAACUACAAAGAAGUAAGUUAGACGGNGNGAGAGCGACGACGACGACGACGGAGGAGGAG